AGAACUGGGCUGAGGGAGCAAAGCCUUUACGAUACCACACAGGAUGGCACAUUUCACUGACCUGACACUCACUACGUGUGCCUAAUACAAUUUCUCCAAGGAUACAGACUCAGGAUUGACAGUAGUGACCUAGGAGAAGUAAGGGGAAGAGGCAAGGGGACUUUCUUUUUUUCUUUUUUUUUUUUUUUUACAUCUGAAUUUUUCCACAUUCUACUCUCUGGCUGAUACAACAAAUUCUCUAGACCCGGGUUUCUCAGCCUUGGCAUGACUGGCACUUGGGGCUGGAGAGUCCUUUGUAGUUGUGAUGCCUCGUGCCCUGUGUGUUGCAGGAUGUUAAGUAGCAUCCCUGGCCUCUACCCACUAGAUACCCACGUGGCAAAUGUGCUAAAUGCCACCUGGAGGGCAACAUUGCCCUCGGUUAAGAGUUACUGCCCCAGCCAAUGUGUUGGCCUUAUUAAAUGUAAUUUAUUCCAUGAUAUAAGCACAAGCCACUGUGACUGCCCAGGCCACCUGGGCCAUACUGCCUUUCCCUAGUUCAGGGAAACAUGUAUGAGAAUCCACUUUGAGUUGUUAAAAUCCCCUGGGUUUGAGUCCCAACUGUCUCCCAUAUGAUGUUCUGACAUUCCCUAUGCAUCUGGGGACCCACCAGGAGUUUCUUUGUGCAACUACCUCAUAUUCAAGAACAAUGUUUGUUAUUGUUGUUUUGGGAGUGGGUUUCACUCCUAUUGCCCAGGCUGGAGUGCAAUGGCACGAUCUUGGCUCACUGCAGCCUCUGCCUCCCAGGCUCGAGCAAUUCUCCUGCCUUAGCCUCUCAACUAGCUGAGAUUACAGGCGCAUGCCACCAUGCCUGGCUAAUUUUUGGUUUUCUUUUGUUUUUUGACAGAGACAGGGUUUCUCCAUGUUGUCCAGACUGGUCUCAAACUCCUGAGCUCAAGUGAUCCGCCUGCCUCCGCCUCCCAAAGUGCUGGGAUUAUAGGUGUGAGAUAUCGCAUCUGGCUCAAGGACAAUUUUAGAAAAGUAAAUCAUUUCUUUCUGAUAAAUACACACACAUAAUCUUUAGAGUCUCUUUCUUUCUACCGACUACUUUAAAAGUCAGAAGUACAACUAUCUGAGCUCCUCAUUCGUGAUAACACACUGGCCUUGUGAUUUUUUUUAAGGAAAUUACAUCUUAAAUGUUCAUGUUUUCAUGCUCCCAAAUUCAUUCUUCAUGUCCUGAAAACUUCUUACACUCUAUCUGGUUUUGUUGGUUUGUUUCCUUUCUUGUUUUAUUUUGGUUUUUGUCUUUUGCUAUGUGAAUCUUACAAUAGCUUCUGAUCUAAAAGAGUAACCUAGGGCACAGUGGCUCACGCCUGUAAUCCCAGCACUUUGGGAGGCUGAGGUGGGUGGAUCACAAGGUCAGGAGAUCGAGACCAUCCUGGCUAACAUGGUGAAACCCCGUCUCUACUAAAAAUACAAAAAAUUAGCCGGGUGUGGUGGCGUGCACCUGUAGUCCCAGCUACUCGGGAGGCUGAGGCAGGAGAAUGGCAUGAACCCGGGAGGCGGAGGUUGUAGUGAGCCAAGACCACACCUUUGCAGUCCAGCCUAGGUGACAGAGCAAGACUCCGUCUCAGGAAAAAAAAAAAAAAAAAGAACUUUGAAAAACUAGGUGCCCCAUCACUCAUUUGUAAGUUGACAUUUAAAACAUUUUUGUCUCCAGUUUAAAUAGUUGCAGAAGAUAUCAUUUUAGGCAUGUAAAUAUGCAGACAGAUAGAUCAGAUAUAGAUAGAUAGGUAGGUAGGUAAGUAAGGAGGUAGGUAGGUAGCUAGGUAGAUAGAUUUGUUUAAAUAAAACUGUUUCAUUAGUCUUUUGUUUGUUUGUUUUUUGUUGUUUUUUUUUUUGAGACGGUCUCACUCUGUUGCCCAGGCUGGAGUGCAAUGGCGCAAUCUCGGCUCACUGCAACCUCCACCUUCCGGGUUCAAGCGAUUCUCCUGUUUCAGCCUCCCAAGUAGCUAGGAUUACAGGUGCCCGCCACCAUGCCUGGCUAAUUUUUGUUUUUUGUCUUUUUUUUAAUAGAGACGGGGUUUCGCCAUGUUGGCCAGGCUGGUGUUCAGCUCCUGACCUCAGGUGAUCCACUUGCCUCAGCCUCCCAAAGUGCUGGGAUUAGCAGGUGUGAGCCACCAUGCCCGGCCUAUCUCAUCAGUCUUUUAAGUGAAUCCAGUAGGUCCUAAAUAGAAUAGAGAUUUUAUUCCCAUCAUUAUCCACUUAAAAACAGAAUACAUAAACAAGCCUAUGUUUCUUUGUUUGAUGCACUUUUGUUUGCAUGUUACAUUUUACACACACACACACACAAAUGCACCAUAAGCAAACUCUUUUUCAAAAGCCAAAAAAUUUAC
rnacentral:lncRNA from 1 species